rnacentral:rRNA from 1 species
UACGUGCGGGGCGAACGUUGUUCGGUUUCACUGGGCUUAAAGGGCGCGUAGGUGGCUGCGUAAGUAAGGUGUGAAAGCCCUCGGCUUACCCGGGGAAUUGCGCCUUAUACUGCGUGGCUUGAGGAUCUCAGGGGAAUGGGGAACUCCAGGUGUAGCGGUGAAAUGCGCAGAUAUCUGGGGGAAGGCCGGCGGCGAAGGCGCCAUUCUGGGAGAUUCCUGACACUGAGGCGCGAAAGCGUGGGGAGCAAACAGG